rnacentral:tRNA from 1 species
AUUUAUAUAGUUUAAUAAAAAACACUACAUUUUCAAUGUAGAAAUAAAAAUUUAUUUUUUAUAAAUA